UACGUAGGGUGCAAGCGUUGCCCGGAUUUAUUGGGCGUAAAGAGCUCGUAGGCGGUCUGUUACGUCUGCUGUGAAAACCCAGGGCUUAACCCUGGGCUUGCAGUGGAUACGGGCAGACUAGAGGCAGGUAGGGGAGAAUGGAAUUCCCGGUGUAGCGGUGAAAUGCGCAGAUAUCAGGAGGAACACCGAUGGCGAAGGCAGGUCUCUGGGCCAUAACUGACGCUGAGAAGCGAAAGCAUGGGGAGCGAACAGG
rnacentral:rRNA from 1 species